UACGGGGGGGGCAAGCGUUGUUCGGAAUUACUGGGCGUAAAGGGCUCGUAGGCGGCCAAUUAAGUCGGAUGUGAAAUCCCCAGGCUUAACCUGGGAACUGCAUCCGAUACUGGAUGGCUUGAAUCCGGGAGAGGGAUGCAGAAUUCCAGGUGUAGCGGUGAAAUGCGUAGAUAUCUGGAGGAAUACCGGUGGCGAAGGCGGCAUCCUGGACCGGCAUUGACGCUGAUGAGCGAAAGCCAGGGGAGCAAACGGG
rnacentral:rRNA from 1 species